GUGCUCGCUUCUGCAGCACAGAUACUAAAACUGGAAUGAUACAGAGAUGAGCACGGCCCCUGCACAAGGAUGACAUGCAAAUUUGGGAAGCAUUCCAUAUUUUU
rnacentral:snRNA from 1 species